GAUGAAGAACGCAGCGAAAUGCGAUACGUAGUGUGAAUUGCAGAAUCCAGUGAAUCAUCGAAUCUUUGAACGCACAUUGCGCCCCCUGGCAUUCCGGGGGGCAUGCCUGUCCGAGCGUCAUUUCUGCCCUCCAGCCCGGCUGGGUGUUGGGCGCUGUCCCCCCGGGGACACGCCCCAAAGGCAGUGGCGGCGCCGCGUCGGGUCCUCGAGCGUAUGGGGCUUUGUCACCCGCUCGGGACGGACUCGUCGGCGCUGGUCUUCCUCCAGGCGACCCUUCGGGGCUCGUCUUCCUUCGGUUGACCUCGGAUCAGGUAGGGUUACCCGCUGAACUUAAGCAUAUCAAUAAGCGGAGGA
rnacentral:misc_RNA from 1 species